rnacentral:rRNA from 1 species
UGAGGAAUAUUGGUCAAUGGACGCAAGUCUGAACCAGCCAUGCCGCGUGAAGGAUGAAGGCCUUCUGGGUUGUAAACUUCUUUUAUCUGGGAAGAAAACUACGGUUUCUACUGUAGCCGACGGUACCAGAGGAAUAAGCACCGGCUAACUCCGUGCCAGCAGCCGCGGUAAUACGGAGGGUGCAAGCGUUAUCCGGAUUUACUGGGUUUAAAGGGUGUGUAGGCGGGUCUUUAAGUCAGUGGUGAAAUCUCCGAGCUCAACUUGGAAACUGCCAUUGAUACUAUUGAUCUUGAAUUCUGUUGAGGUUGGCGGAAUAAGUCAUGUAGCGGUGAAAUGCAUAGAUAUGACUUAGAACACCGAUUGCGAAGGCAGCUAACUAAACAGAUAUUGACGCUGAGGCACGAAAGCGUGGGGAUCAAACAGG